GUAGCAUAAUAACUUGCCUUUUAAUUGAAGGAUAGAAUGAAAGGUGCCACGACUUACCAACUUUCUAGAAUUUACCACAAUGAACUUUAUCCAAAAGUAAAAAAUCUUUUACCUCUCAGAAGGACAACAAGACCCCAACGAACUUAACACUAUUUAGCUGGGGCAGCUAAAAAACAAAAACUUCUUAUUAAUCCUUACCCCGACCCAAUAAUAUUGAUCGAAGGCCUAAGUUACCGUGGGGAUAACAGCAUAAUCGGACCUCAGAGAUCUUAUCAAACGUCCGCCAUUGGACCUCGAUGUUGAAUUAAUAAAGCUACAUUAAGCAAAAGGAAUGCAAGCAGGUCUGUUCGACCUUUAAUAAAUUAUAUGAUUUGAGUUCAGACCGGCGCAAGCCAGGUCAGUUUAUAUCCUCUUACAGCCAGUGUUAGUACGAAAGGACCCCACAAAAGUUAAAA
rnacentral:rRNA from 1 species